rnacentral:rRNA from 13 species
AUUUAGGUAGCGCCUCGGACGUAUCCCUUGGGGGGUAGAGCACUGCAUGGAUGAUGGGGGCCCACAGCCUUACUGAGUCUAAGCAAACUCCGAAUACCGCAGAGUACUAUCCGGGAGACACACGGCGGGUGCUAACGUCCGUCGUGGAGAGGGAAACAACCCUGACCAACAGCUAAGGCCCCCAAUUCGUGGCUAAGUGGGAAAGCAUGUGAGACUUCCAAAACAACCAGGAGGUUGGCUUAGAAGUAGCCA